rnacentral:rRNA from 1 species
AACGAACGCUGGCGGCAUGCCUAACACAUGCAAGUCGAACGAGACCUUCGGGUCUAGUGGCGCACGGGUGCGUAACGCGUGGGAACCUUCCCUUAGGUUCGGAAUAACUCCCCGAAAGGGGUGCUAAUACCGGAUAAUGUCUUCGGACCAAAGAUUUAUCGCCUUUGGAUGGGCCCGCGUUGGAUUAGCUAGUUGGUAGGGUAAAAGCCUACCAAGGCGACGAUCCAUAGCUGGUCUGAGAGGAUGAUCAGCCACACUGGGACUGAGACACGGCCCAGACUCCUACGGGAGGCAGAAGUGGGGAAGAUUGGACAAUGGGCGAAAGACUGAUGCAGCAAUGCCGCGUGAGUGAUGAAGGCCUGAGGGUUGAAAAGGUAUUUUACCAGGGAUGAUAAUGACAGUACCGGGAGAAUAAGCUCCGGCUAACUCCGU